rnacentral:rRNA from 1 species
AGUGAACGCUGGCGGCAGGCCUAACACAUGCAAGUCGAGCGGCAGCGCGGGGGCAACCCUGGCGGCGAGCGGCGGACGGGUGAGGAAUUCGUCGGAAUCUGCCUUUUUGUGGGGGAUAACGUAGGGAAACUUACGCUAAUACCGCAUACGUCCUACGGGAGAAAGUGGGGGACCGCAAGGCCUCACGCAGAAAGAUGAGCCGACGACCGAUUAGCUAGUUGGUGGGGUAAAGGCCCACCAAGGCGACGAUCGGUAGCUGGUCUGAGAGGAUGAUCAGCCACACUGGAACUGAGACACGGCCCAGACUCCUACGGGAGGCAGCAGUGGGGAAUAUUGGACAAUGGGCGCAAGCCUGAUCCAGCCAUGCCGCGUGUGUGAAGAAGGCCUUCGGGUUGUAAAGCACUUUUGUCCGGAAAGAAAUCCCUGGAGCUAAUACCUUCGGGGGAUGACGGUACCGGAAGAAUAAGCACCGGCUAACUUCGUG